CCCCUCUCGGGAUCACACCUGGAGAGUUUCCAGGACUCUCCCAGUCUCGACUACGGGAGGGAGAAUCAAGCAGAGGCAGACCCACUCCAUUCCUAGCUUGGCCAGUGGCUAGCGAGUGGAAAACGAUCUGCUACGAAG